CCUACGGGGGGCUGCAGUAAGGAAUAUUGGACAAUGGCGGAGACGCUGAUCCAGCUAUCCCGCGUGCAGGAUGAAGGACCUAUGGUUUGUAAACUGCUUUAGACUGGGGCGAAAAAGUGGGAUUUAUCCUACAUUGACGGUACCAGUAAAAUAAGCACCGGCUAACUCCGUGCCAGCAGCCGCGGUAAUACGGAGGGUGCAAGCGUUAUCCGGAAUCACUGGGUAUAAAGCGUGUGGAGACGUCAGGCGAGAAGGGCCACGGCUUAACCGUGGGAUUGCUUUGGAUACUGGCGAGCUUGGAUUAGGACGAGGUUGGCGGAAUGUGGCAAGUAGCGGUGAAAUGCAUAGAUAUGCCAUAGAAUACCGAUUGCGAAGGCAGCUGACUAGACCUAUAUUGACGCUGAGGCACGAAAGCGUGGGGAGCGAACUGGAUUAGAUACCCUAGUAGUC
rnacentral:rRNA from 1 species